GCGAGCGGUUAAUAUUGAUUGGUAUGCAGUGAAAGGAGUUGAAAAAUCUCUAGGAAGUAUUCCUGGGUAGCUACUCUACUCCCCCACCCCUCUCCGUCUGUCUGGCUUUGUCUUAUCACGGCCGACACGCCCAAUCCAAAUAUAAUGGUAUAUAAGUCAUCGAGAUAUAGGUGUUUAUGCAUAACUCGGACUGUUUUGGCCGAUUCUGUCAUACCACAAGUCAACCAGAACCAGGCAUUGUGAUAACAGUUUCCUGCUGGCUCCUCUCCUCCUUCCUGCACCACCACCACCCCCACCAUCAUCAUCAACAUCAUCAUCCUAUAACCGUGUCAUGAAUCACGUGCCUGGAACUCCGGGAAAGACAGUUGCAAGCUGCUUGAUUCCAUUUCAUUCCAGUGUUUAUCGCGCACUCCCAAAGUCACAGAAUGGGCAGACAGGCACGCACGCACACAAACGCUCAGCGGGACAUUUUGCUGUUGUUGUGUGGCACGUAGAUGUGAAAAUUGGAAAUAAAGUUGGCAUGGUUGCAUGAUUCAUGCGUCCCGUCUGUAGUGGCUGGCGCUGCCGUUUCAGUUGAACUUCAAAAACGGUUGUUGGCAUUGGCACAUCGUACAUUGUACAUGUGUAUAUAUGUGUGUACAUUGCACUUUACAACACUGACACCGCCAAGGCUGUCACGGGCAGAACGUGCAAAUUGAACUUGAAAACGGAGGAAGGGCAGCAUACAUUCAGAGAUGGGUGGGAGAUGGAUAGGAUAGGCAAGGGGGCAUAUCAUAUCCAUCCAUCUUGCUGCAGCACAUGUUGCUCAGUCAGGCAGCAACAUCUACUACGAAUUAGGAGACAUGCGCGAGGGAGAAUAUAGCGUAGCGUAUAAAGCGAAAAUCAAUAAAGGCGGCCCAAAAAUAUGAAAUGACAAAUCAAAUGCAGCCGAAAAAAGAACGGGAGGAAGAGCUAACCACAUAAAUCCAACCGCCACCCACAAUCAACCCACACACACCUAUAUGUACAUACAAUCCACCCACACCAAAAACGGCAGGCGUCACGCGAAAUACAAUGAAAGAUUAAGGCAAAGAGGGA